rnacentral:hammerhead_ribozyme from 1 species
AUCCAUCCGUCGAGUCUCAAAUAGUACGAAACGCGCGUCAUGGAU